rnacentral:rRNA from 1 species
AUGCCUAUGGAAAAAUCCUUCAAAUAUAACUCAAUGCAACCAUUAGUCCAUAGAGAAUGUCAUCAAUUACCAAAACCACACAUGGGGGCACCGCAUGUCCUUUCACCAAGGGAAAAAGAGGCUAGGUGGCGAAUGGUAAAACCAAGGUUGGGCCUUGCUGGAGGACUUUUAUUCAAGGCGAACUGUCAAGGGGUUCGCAUUAUAACCCAACCAUGUAAGGAACGCAAAAUCAAGGAACAUAACACUGACAUGAUGAAAACUAGGGCGGCAAGAGUGGAACAAAACACCAGGCAUAAGGCCGAGCCUUCCACCCUUUACCAAGUACAUAGGUACAUUAAAGUAAAUAAGAGAUAUUGUGGCAUCCCAAAAAAUAUCCAUGUUCCAACAUGGAACCAAACUCCAAUCUUCACCUGCAACUAG